UCUUGGAAACGGGUGGUAAUGCUGGAUGCUCCAACUUGACGCAUGUCUUGUUGGGAAAGUGUUUAGUGGCAUGGGAUGGGGUCGCGUCCUAUCAGCUUGUAGGCGGGGUAAUGGCCCACCUAGGCUUCGACGGGUAGCCGGCCUGAGAGGGCGGACGGCCACAUUGGGACUGAGAUACGGCCCAGACUCCUACGGGAGGCAGCAGGU
rnacentral:rRNA from 1 species